rnacentral:rRNA from 1 species
UCCAGACUCCUACGGGAGGCAGCAGUGGGGAAUAUUGCGCAAUGGGGGAAACCCUGACGCAGCAACGCCGCGUGAGUGAAGAAGUAUCUCGGUAUGUAAAGCUCUAUCAGCGGGGAAGAGGGAAGACGGUACCCGACUAAGAAGCCCCGGCUAACUACGUGCCAGCAGCCGCGGUAAUACGUAGGGGGCGAGCGUUAUCCGGAUUUACUGGGUGUAAAGGGAGAGUAGGUGGCAAGGUAAGCGAUAUGUGGAAGCCUUAAGCUUAACUUAAGGAUUGCAUAACAAACUAUCUAGCUAGAGUACAGGAGAGGAAAGCGGAAUUCCUAGUGUAGCGGUGAAAUGCGUAGAUAUUAGGAAGAACACCAGUGGCGAAGGCGGCUUUCUGGACUGAAACUGACGCUGAGGCUCGAAAGCGUGGGGAGCGAACAGGAUUAGAUACCCGUGUAAC